rnacentral:tRNA from 1 species
UGUGGUUGUGGCUCAGUGGUAGAGCGCUUGCCUAGCACACAUGAGGCACUGGGUUCAAUCCUCAGCACCACAA